rnacentral:SRP_RNA from 1 species
AAUUACAAACCCCGUCAGGUCCGGAAGGAAGCAGCGGUAGUAAUUCCUUUUGUGUGCCGUAGGGAAGCCUGGCUAUC